GCAGGAAGCUCAGCAAGGAUGGCCAGGGCAGCCACCACCAGUCUACUUCCCUCCUCCGACAGGGUCUUUGGCUUUGAAGCCUUUACUCCUGGGCCACCUGUCAGCUUAGGGUUUAGUUCUGGGAGCUGUCUAACGAGGAUGCAAACACAGAGUUCCAGGGUUGCAAAGACCAAAGACUUCCCAGUCUUAAAAUAGUGCCUGAUCAAACUCAUCUCCUUGCUGUUAUAAGUGAGAAUCUGACAGCAGCAGCUCCAACAGCAACUCUGUCAUCUUACAGACUGGCAGCAGCCGGGCACAAGGAUCAGACUCCAGGCCCUGAUGCCAUUAGAAGCUGCCCCCUCCCCCACUGCCCGCCUCUGCCCGUUUGCUUUUUAGGUAUGUAUUCCCAUCUGCCCCCUCAACAGUACCCAGAUUUCAUGGCUACCCCGAGUGACACUUGUGAAGACAACAAUGCUGCGCGGUGCUGCUGCGUGCCACACUUGGGGAACAGUGCUUGCCCACUGCACACAGAGUGUUUGACUCCCAGAACUGGCAUGAAAAGAGAUGCCAUGCCACUGAGUUAAUAUUUACCUUCUGCACUGCGUCUUUUUUCCUUCACAUGUUCUUGAGCGGCACAGAUAAUCUGCCUGACCACUUCAAGUGAAGCCAGUUGAAUGGCUGGUGACUCUCUGGUCAAAAUUACUCGGUGUAGUACAUUUAGCAAUUCAAUACCCAAGUCCUGUCAGAAAAAAUGGAGUGGACACUAUUGGAAGUUACAUUUGUUUGUGUGUGUGUGUGUGUGUGUAAAAUUAACAAGGUUAAACGCCAUAAUAAAAACUCAAUUUAUUAAAUUCUCUCUUCUUAAAAACAAGUGUAUUGCCAGAACAAUAAAGGAAUAUAUCAAUACUUCUCUGCUUUGAGGCAGUCUUAUGCAGGUCUGCCUGGCCUAAACUUGCCAAGGAUGACCUCAAACUCCUGAUCCUCCAACUAUGGAAUUUCAGAUGUAUCACCAUGCCUGGCUUAUAACAUUGUAACGAAUUUCAGAACACUUCUCAGCUCAUAUGAGAAGUGGUACUAUGACAAAUGAUCAUUUUCAUUCAUGUCUGAGAUGAUACUGGAGACACAGCCAAAGGCUGAUGUGUAGAUUCUAAGAUUAAUAUUAAAAUUUUCUCGU
rnacentral:lncRNA from 1 species